CGGCCGGCCCCCCUCCGAGGGGCCGGGACAGGCAGCUCCGCCUGGGGCUCCCUCCAGGCCAGGGCAGCGACUGGGGUCCUGCGCCCAGGGGGCUGCUGGGCCGGGCUGAGUCCCCGGAGCUGCCCAGUCCGGCCAGGGCAGGAGUCUGCUGCGUGCCCAGGACUGAGGAACCGCAGGAGCAAGCCCUGAGCACUGAUCCAGGAGUAGUCCCCACACCUGGGUGGGUGCGGCCCUGCCUCGCUCCCGUCCCCUGGGAAAACCUCGAGAGCGCCCUCCUGAGCUGUCUGCUCCCAAAGUCGCCUCUGUGAGGAGCCGGAAGAAUCCAGGGCAGGGAUUUUCCUUGGAGGCAAGAAGGUCACCGGGAGACGGCCUGCGGGGAGGCGCCUCCAUCUCCUGCCGGCGGGCGUCAGAGGAGCCCGGAGAGACAGAAGCACGGUCGCCCACAAGGAACGGUCUGCCUCGUUUCGCCGCGUGCAGAGAUUUGGCUCUUGCACCCAACACCCUGUCCUGCCAAACUGGAUGGACAGAAGGACUCUUGGUUCCAAAGACAGGGCAAGUCGGGGCCAGCAGGUGGGGAGGAGUGCUGGGCUCUCACCUUGGCAAGGGCGGCCCUCUGGGCCCUGGCGGGAGCAGGGGGGCCUGGCCCUGAGGAGGGGGCUCAGGUGAAGGUCUCCCCAGGGGAGAUUGGACUAGAGCGAGAAGUCUGUCAGCUGCACUGCUGAUUGACAAGAAUGUAAG